AGCAGCCGCGGUAAUUCCAGCUCCAAUAGCGUAUAUUAAAGUUGUUGCAGUUAAAAAGCUCGUAGUUGAAUUUCGGGGUUAGUAGGUUGGUCAUGCCUCUGGUAUGUACUGGUCUCACUGAUUCCUCCUUCCUGAUGAACCUUAAUGCCAUUAACUUGGUGUUUUGGGGAAUUUGGACUGUUACUUUGAAAAAAUUAGAGUGUUUAAAGCAAGCUAACGCUUGAAUACAUUAGCAUGGAAUAAUGAAAUAGGACGUUCGAUCCUAUUUUGUUGGUUUCUAGGAUUGACGUAAUGAUUAAUAGGGAUAGUUGGGGGCAUUAGUACUCAAUUGUCAGAGGUGAAAUUCUUGGAUUUAUUGAAGACUAACUACUGCGAAAGCAUUUGCCAAGGAUGUUUUCAUUAAUCUAAGAACGAAAGUUAGGGGAUCGAAGACGAUCAGAUACCGUCGUAGUCUUAACCAUAAACUAUGCCGACUAGGGAUCGGAUGAUGUUAAUUUUUUAAUGACUCAUUCGGCGCCUU
rnacentral:rRNA from 1 species